CCCAUCCGGCCGCCUCCUCCAUGGCGACUGGCUCCCAUCCGGCCGCCUCCUCCAUGGCGAGAACCGUGUCCAGAGGAGGACCAUCACGACCAUGAGUUCCCCGUCGUCGUCUCUCUCCGUGCUUAACCGGUGUGCUGAAACCUCUCCUAAGCUUCGCCUGCUGCUACCCCGACACAGCAGCAUGGAUCUGACGUCUCCCGGCCGUCCCGAAGCGGCGGCCCAUGGGAUCCGAGCGAAGAAGAGGCCUCGCGAUAUGAUGGCCUUGGUUCUCCUCUUAUGCAGGCUAGAUCUUGUUGGCCUCAAGCAGCACCACCAACAGGAUCCAGGCGAGCAUGCGGCUGCUCCUCCACCAUCAUGUGACGCGUGUAGUGGCCGUUCACCGGGAGAGACCCAGCUCCACGAUCACCACCACUCACUUGAUGUGCAUGUCCACACGCCAUCGACAAGUCGACCCGCGAAAGAAGCUGGCCCUACCGAUCAGGAUGACAUCGAUGAGGAGGAAGCAAUGGUGUGACGUCAUGGAUCCCACCUGUAAGUGCGUGAGUGUGUGGCUACAGUUUUCUACAAUAUUGUGAAAACCACGAUGUGUUUGGCAGUCACAGUAUUUGCCACUAUAUUUGGUGAUCCGGUCAUCAAUAUGUUCAUGUUCUACAACCCUAUCGGCCCCGGGCAAAGAAUCACACACUUUAUCAUAGGCGAGGACUGGUCGUGGCUAUAUGCAAGUGUGGUCGCUGACACCCAGGCAGGCUCAACGUAUCGCAUGCAUACACGGGCUCUUUUCUUCAUACUAUGCACCUUGAAUUCUGUGAGAUAUACACGUACAUUGCUCCCAAGUACAUUGCUCCCAAGUCAUAUAGAGAUGAGUAAGAGAAGAAAAAUGAAUGUGCCCCUGUUUACAUCAAGAGAAUGUACCCCAUAUAAGGACCUAACAAACACAACUAUGGAUGGUAGUGCUAAUAUCCCACAUAAUCAAACAGACGAUCCUAAAAGGAAAAGUGUUCAAUCAUGGUAUGACAAUGUCGGAUGAGAAGAAAGCGGAAUACAACGCGAAGUGUCAUAUAUCCUGACAACAAACGAGAGUUGCAGCUCUAGACUGUCUUAACCAGGACCAAUUAUCACAAACAUGUGUUUCUCCGUUAGACUGUGCUAUGGUUCAUCUCUACAACAGUUUCCCUAUCUAACAUCAUGUGUAUCUAAGUGCAGCUUCUGGUCAGGCCCCACUUGUUUCUGGCGAUCCCAGGUUCCAGUCAAAUGCAAUAGGAUAUGUAAUGCUUAUUUGUCACAUUCAUUCAUUAUGUACUAACUCUUCUCUCCUGUGACGGUAAUGUGUCACAAAUUCAUCAAAAAAUGUGCCACUCCCUCUGAUGCUCCCUCAUGGUGCUAGAAAAACUCCCAGGUCAGAAAAAUUAUCACGGUUGCUUCAACAUUUAUCUCU